rnacentral:rRNA from 1 species
GACGAACGCUGGCGGCGUGCUUAACACAUGCAAGUCGAACGAAGUGGCGAACGGGUGAGUAACGCGUAAUCAACCUGCCCUUCAGAGGGGGACAACAGUUGGAAACGACUGCUAAUACCGCAUACAGAAGGAGGGGAUUGCGUCUGGUUAGCUAGUGGGAGGGGUAACGGCCCAACAAGGGGAUGAUCAGUAGCCGGUCCGAGAGGAUGAACGGCCACAUUGGGACUGAGACACGGCCCAGAAUCUUACGGGAGGCAGCAGUGGGGAAGCUUCCGCAAUUGACGAAAGUCUGACGAAGCAACGCCGCGGGAGUGAUGACGGCCUUCGGGUUGUAAAGCUCUGUUAAUCGGGACGCGUUACCGGAAUAGAAAGCCACGGCUAACUACGUGCCAGCAGCCGCGGUAAUUC